GCCACCGCCCACUCCCCUGUUUCUCGUGCUCGUCUCCCCAAUUCUCGCCACGCACCAGAUCGGAGGCCUUCGAUCCAUCCGCCCUAGCAGUUCGAACGGCGGAGCGCUCCUCAUAUAAGGGAUCGGGGCCGCUGGCCUCACCUACGGCCGUCUUUCCCACGCCGCAGCCCGCUUGAACGCCCCCGCCCUCCCCGCCGGCUGGAUCGGAGCCGCCGGCCUCACCCACGACGUCCUCCUUCACGCCCCUUCCCUGGUUCCCUCCCACGACUGCACCCAGGCAAACGCUACCGCCUGCAUACGCGAGAAUGCCACCGUCCACACCCGCGCGAACACCGGCGCCCUCCACAAGAAAAACUUUGAAAUGGAUCCAAAUGAGGUGGCCAGAGGUGUAUGCACAAAGGUACUCCAGAAAGGUGUUUGACAACAACGAUACAUCUUGAAGAUGGAUUAUUUCAGGGGCUGUACAAAACAAAAUUGGGUAGCUCUUGUCAACAAAAGGAAAUUUGUGCAAAGAUCAAGGAGAACCGAGAAGCUGUCAAGCAUCGCCAAACUAUACAAAAGAAGCAACAAGAAGAAUUGGUAGCUAUGAAGAAAAACCAAGAAGAACAUAAAGAUUAUGAAAAGAAGCAAAGGAACAUGACACACUUGUUAGUUUCCUCUUAUGGAAACAUGCAACUCCGAACUAGGCAUCAUACUUGAUGGUGCAUGAAAGGCAUCAUUAUAUGGUGGUGCACUUGUCUUUUUUUCUUGCGAGGAAAGUUUCCUUGUAUUUAGUUAUGCUAAUUUUACCGUGCAACUUAUUUAGUUAUGUAUGAUGCUAUUUGGUUGAG